GACGAACGCUGGCGGCGUGCUUAACACAUGCAAGUCGAACGGAAAGGCCCUGCUUUUGUGGGGUGCUCGAGUGGCGAACGGGUGAGUAACACGUGAGUAACCUGCCCUUGACUUUGGGAUAACUUCAGGAAACUGGGGCUAAUACCGGAUAGGAGCUCCUGCUGCAUGGUGGGGGUUGGAAAGUUUCGGCGGUUGGGGAUGUACUCGCGGCUUAUCAGCUUGUUGGUGGGGUAGUGGCUUACCAAGGCUUUGACGGGUAGCCGGCCUGAGAGGGUGACCGGGGGCAAGGGGACUGAGGGAAGGACCAGAGUGCUACGGGAGGCAGCAGUGGGGGGUGUUGCUGAUGGGGCGGAUGCCGGAUACAAAGGCGAGGCGAGCGGGAAGCCGGUUGUUGGGUGAUAAACCGCUUUCAACGGUGAGGAGGGUGGCGUGGCGGUAGUGGGUAAAGAAGCUACGGCUAACUACGGG
rnacentral:rRNA from 1 species